GCUGGGCGUGGUGGCGCACGCCUGUAAUCCCAGCUACUCAGGAGGCUGAGGCAGGAGAAUUGCUUGAACCCAGGAGGCGGAGGUUGCGGUGAGCCGAGAUCGUGCCAUUGCACUCUAGCCUGGGUAACAAGAGCGAAACUCUGUCUCAA
rnacentral:sRNA from 1 species